AAACUUGAGAGUUUGAUCCUGGCUCAGAGCGAACGCUGGCGGCAGGCUUAACACAUGCAAGUCGAACGCGCGUAGCAAUACGUGAGUGGCAGACGGGUGAGGAACACGUGAGAACAUGCCCUUUGGU
rnacentral:rRNA from 1 species